rnacentral:rRNA from 1 species
AGUGAACGCUGGCGGUAGGCCUAACACAUGCAAGUCGAACGGCAGCACAGUAAGAACUUGCUCUUACGGGUGGCGAGUGGCGGACGGGUGAGGAAUACAUCGGAAUCUACUUUUUCGUGGGGAUAACGUAGGGAAACUUACGCUAAUACCGCAUACGACCUACGGGUGAAAGCAGGGGAUCUUCGGACCUUGCGCGAUUGAAUGAGCCGAUGUCGGAUUAGCUAGUUGGCGGGGUAAAGGCCCACCAAGGCGACGAUCCGUAGCUGGUCUGAGAGGAUGAUCAGCCACACUGGAACUGAGACACGGUCCAGACUCCUACGGGAGGCAGCAGUGGGGAAUAUUGGACAAUGGGCGCAAGCCUGAUCCAGCCAUACCGCGUGGGUGAAGAAGGCCUUCGGGUUGUAAAGCCCUUUUGUUGGGAAAGAAAAGCAGCAGGUUAAUACCCCGCUGUUCUGACGGUACCCAAAGAAUAAGCACCGGCUAACUUCGUG